GGAGCAGUAAGCCUAAUGGUAAGGCAGCAGUUUGCUAAACUGUCAGUAAUCCGAAAGGGUGUGUGAGUUCAAGUCUCGCCUGCUCCGCCA
rnacentral:tRNA from 1 species